UAGGUGGGAAAGAUUGCCCCCAGGCCGGGUAUUUGUUGGGGUAUGGAGGCCCUGACAUCCCGACAGGCCGGGAUGGCUGUGAGAAGGCCGGCCUGGAAAAAAGAGGCGGGAAACCCUCACUCAGACCCUGCUGUCUAGAAAAAAGUCACUUUUCCAAACUCAGUGUUUCUGCCCCAAUGGCUUCAGGCUCUCAGAGGACAGCGGGUGCCCUGUGAGGGGACUGGUGCUGCGCUGUCAGCCACGAGCCGCUCCUGAGGGGGAUUUAAGGCUGGUCUUGUGUCCUUACAAGCCUUUCUGUGCCACAGAGCUGGAGGAUUUAGAUCCAUUAUGUUGUUUUUAUUGGGUUUUUUAAAUUACAAACCUGGCACCUCUUCUAGUUCCCAUUUACAGGGUUUUCAAUUCCCAUUUGCAGAGAUCUCAUCCCAGGAGCUCCAGGGCAAACUCCCCCUCCACCAGCGCAGGGACAAUGUUGCCAGGCAAGAAGAGACAGCAGAGCAAACACUCCAGCCCACCCCAUUGUCAGCUGCUGUGCUGGAUUAAACAAGACCAGAAUUCACUCCUCUUAUUGCAGCUUGUGAAGACAUUUAGUGUCCUUGACCAUAGAACGCUAGGAAAGUGCUGCUGUGGCAUUUUGUACUGCCCUGUGCAUGGGAGGGAGCAUAAAGCAGAGUUUUAUAGAAGCAAGAACACGUGAGCUCUGUUCCAGCCCUGUUCAGACCCUUUGGAGUCUUCUCUGCUGCCGUGGGCUCCUGCUUUGGAACUCCUGGACAAUUCUAAACCCCACACAAAUGGUCUCACACCAGAAAUACUGACACGACUUCUGCUUGGAGCUUAAGCAAGUGCUAUUACAGCAUUGCUGUUGAACAAAGAGCAGGUGCAAACGCCCUGGCUGAAAGUGUAAAUGUGUUGCACUCCCUUCAGUGCUUGAACAUGGCAUUAAUCCUCUUCCUUCUCUUCUUCCUCCUCCUCCUCCUCCUCUGCUCUGUCUCUGCGCUGGAGGUCACCUCCCACAGACACGGCACAGACAGGAGAUACCUGCCUGCUUCUCCCCUGCUUUGAGACAAAAUCAAGGCAAGUAAUUUCAGCUCUUUGAAGGCAGGUUUGUGCUAAAGACCUGGAUUUUAUGCUGAAGUGGCUGACACUAAUAUAAUUUGGGGGAUAAGGGGUAGCCUUUGGCAGCAGACACUGAGUUGUAUCAUCCUCAGCCAACGCAGGAAGAUUUUCCAGAGCUUGUCUCUUAACACCUUGAAUAAGCCCCCGACUUAAAUCCACCUUGAUUAAGAGCAAAAUAGAUUAUGUAUGCACAGGAGCACACAAAAUAAUAUUUAAAUGUCUGUUCAGGUAUGUAAAUAAUGCUGUGAACAGAGUCUGGGAGCUGUGCUCUCAGUGAGGCAGAACCGUUUGGCACAGGCCUGGACAGUGAGCUUGGCUCUGCUGGGUCCCAGCCCACUGCUUCAAUCACAAGACUAUUCCCCAGUAUGGAUUUGUCUAUCCCCUAUGUCUUUUCCAUCAUCUCUAAACUUGAGUGACUCCUAUGACUAAUGUGAUUGUAAGUCAUAAAACAUUAAGUUAUGACACAAUCAAAUCAAAGCCAAGAAAUUCAUAGUUAGGGUGUAGGCUACAUUCUUAACUCAAAACCAGAAAAGCAGCAUUACAGGGUAAACAAAAGGCUGAAGUGUCAGCCCUCAUUUUUCAUUUUUUGGGCUCUUAUCAGUUUGUAUCAA